AAUAAUAAUAAUUGUUACAGUUAAUUAAUAAAUUCUAUAAUAUGUACUUGGUCAAUAGCUUGUAGUAAAGAGUAUUACUAAUUAGAAAGUUUUAUUGAUGCAAAUUUGACGGGGCUGAGAAAUGUAACCAUAAGGUAGGUAUACAUUUUUAUCUCUUAUAACUCUUACUUAAUAUUGGAGUAUAAAAAUAAAUUUUACUACAAAAUAAUAAUUUAUUACCGUUACUAUUAUUAAGAAUAUCAUUUCUGGGGUUGAAUUCCUGUCUUGGGCAAGUGAUUGUCUAGGAAGAUAUACAUACUUCCCCCACACUAGACAUCGUAGAAACCUAGGGGUGUUAAUUUAAGACUGUGACUAAGUAACCAAACUAAGCUCAAAGUCUACUCUCGGUUAAUAAGCCAUAAAAUAAAAUAAUAAUCAAUAAUUUUUAAUUAAAAUUAUAAAUUGAUGCCGACAGCGACUCAAUCAAGUGCCUUGGUAUGUAAAAAAAUAUAUUUAAUUGGGUACCUAUCUAUUACAUUUUAGGUAUUAGGUAACCUAUCUAUUUACAACUUAAAUCUAAACAAUGUAAUUAAAUAAAAUAAAUUGCACUUUUUUCAACAGACUUUGGUAUUAACAACUAGAGAAU